GAUGAACGCUAGCGGCAGGCUUAACACAUGCAAGUCGAGGGGCAGCGCGAUGUAGCAAUACAUUGGCGGCGACCGGCGCACGGGUGCGUAACACGUAUGGAACUUACCCUUUACUGGGAGAUAGCCCGGAGAAAUCCGGAUUAAUAUCCCAUAAUAAACGAAGUGGCAUCACUUUGUUUUGAAAGCUCCGGCGGUAAAGGAUGGCCAUGCGCACGAUUAGCUAGUAGGUGAGGUAACGGCUCACCUAGGCUACGAUCGUUAGGGGGCCUGAGAGGGUUAUCCCCCACACUGGUACUGAGACACGGACCAGACUCCUACGGGAGGCAGCAGUGAGGAAUAUUGCGCAAUGGAGGCAACUCUGACGCAGCCAUGCUGCGUGCAGGAAGAAGGCGCUACGCGUUGUAAACUGCUUUUAACCGGGAGAAACCCUCCGACGUGUCGGAGGUUGACGGUACCGGAGGAAUAAGCACCGGCUAACUUCGUGCCAGCAGCCGCGGUAAAG
rnacentral:rRNA from 1 species